UUCCAGUGUUUUGUACCUGUGGCACAUCUAAAAACUGCAGGAGACCGGCCCUUGAGGACUGGACUUUGACACCUGUGGUCUAGGUGAUCCCUUUUCCUUCACUGGAUGUUGCCCCUUUCCUCACUACUUCCCCCCCACUGUCUGUGUUUCCACUGCAGCAUCAUCAACUUCUCUGGGUCAAAGAGAGGCGGCAGAGUGAGGAUGGGUGUGUCCUCUGCAGCAUCGCUGCACUAUCAGACACGGGGGAGCGUGGAAAUGAGAGGAAGUGAUGUGGAUUAAUCGUGGGUGUGGUUCGACGUCUUUAUCACGGAUUGUCUUAAACAAAAAGAAAAAAAAAGAGGAAGAAUAAAAAGCAAGGCUCAUGUUUUCCAAAUGGAAGAGGGAAGCUCAGAUUUGCUGUUUGGCAUGCAGCUCUCACUAUUCUGUCUCGCAGGGACUCGGCGACCUUGUUCUGCACCGCCUGAUGUCCCUGCAUGACCUCUGCUGCAGAAGCUCGCCCUGCAUCAGUGGAGGCGACAGCACCGCUCUGCAGAUGGAUGAACCUCUAACCGAAGGAGGAGAAAAAGGAGGAGAUGUUCUUCAUCUUUCCUCUCAGGUGUUUAGAUUCAUCACAGCAGGAAAUAACUAAAUGUCCUAAUUAAGCUUUAAUUGGUGUCAGUUGUUCUGUGAGCUACGAGUCAUUCCAGAAAGAAAGUACACCCCGCAUUCAACAUCUUGUAGAGCCACGCUUAGCAUUAAUAACGAAAGCAAUGAGCUUUCUUUGUGAUUUCAUCUAUCAAUUCGGUUGUUGAUUUUAGCUCACUCUUCUUUCUGUGUUUCAGUUUUUUCUGGUCUGCAGAUGUUUGUUUGUGUUCUCUUAAUGUCCCACUGCAUCAUUUCAGGCAUUUUGAGGUUUGCGACAUCUUGAUUCUUCUCAUUGAAGCGUUUCUGUUGCGCAUUUGUUGCAUUUACUGCCAACUAAAACUCAUCUGUUGGACAGAUUACCAAUCGUCUGACUCAAGAAGUGAUUGAAUUUACAAAACAUUCCCAAAUCAUCAUCCCUCUGUCACCGUACUUGAAAGUGGGAAUGAGGUGUUUGUGGAUUAUAACCAAAAAUCCUUACUUUGGUUUUAUCUAUGCCCAAGGCUUUGUGGUUAUGCUUUUUCGGAAUAAAGACUGACUUUCUGGGCAA